GUACACGCUGUGACUAGCAUAUCAAUAAGCGGAGGAAAAGAAACUAACAAGGAUUCCCCUAGUAACGGCGAGUGAAGCGGGAAGAGCUCAAAUUUGAAAUCUUAAAGGGUUUCCCUUUACGAAUUGUAGUUUAAAGAAGUGUUUUCUGUUGAGGUUUUGGUAAAAGUUCUUUGGAAUAGGACAUCAUAGAGGGUGAGAAUCCCGUAUUUGACCUUUACUUUCAACUUUGUGAUACACUUUCAAAGAGUCGGAUUGUUUGGGAAUGCAGUCCAAAAUGGGUGGUAAAUUUCAUCUAAAGCUAAAUAUUGGCGAGAGACCGAUAGCGAACAAGUACCGUGAGGGAAAGAUGAAAAGAACUUUGAAAAGAGAGUUAAACAGUACGUGAAAUUGUCAAAAGGGAAGCGUUUGACACCAGUGUUGUUUUUCUGAAAAUCAAUUAAAGAACUGUUUAUGCUAAGUUGUUUAGACUUUAUCAGCUAUCUGUUUAGUUUUGAGCUUUUCUUUAAUGCACUUUUCAGUUAACAAGUCAACAUCAAUUUCUUUUGCUGUAAAAAAGCUUGAGGAAGGUGGCUUGAGAUUCGUCUUAAGUGUUUAUAGCCUCUUGCCUAUGCAGUCGGAGAGAUUGAGGUCUGCAGCGUAGAUCCUUCGGGGCUAAAUGCAUUUGUGCUAAGUUAUAGCAUUUUAUAGACAACUUGUUGACUAUGAUUUGUCUUGUAGCUUACUCGCUUAUGUUAUUUUACCUACGCUUAGGAUGUUGAAGAUGUAGCACAUCAU
rnacentral:rRNA from 1 species